CAUCAUCGAUGCGUGGAAGAGGAUACGCAUCCUUUCUAGUGACAUCAUUUAAUUUACGAUAGUCCACACAAAAUCUCAAACCGCCAUCUUUCUUUCUCACCGGAACAACAGGGGCGGCUCAAGGACUGCAUGAUGGCCAUAUAAUGCUGCUUUCCUGCAUCUGCUUCACAUGGUCCGCUACCUCCUGUUGCAGAUGGAGUGGUACCCGACGAGGAGCCAUUUUAAUGGGCUUUGCAUCAUCAGUAUCAAUUUGAUGAAGGGUUCUAUGGGUCCAUCCUAGAUCUGUAUCAUUCUUACUAAAAACAGAGAGAUAGUUACUUAAUAACUCUUGAAUUGAUUUUAACUGUGUUAGGUUCCAACUCCCUGUUAUGCAACCCCAAAUAUUCCAACAAUACUUCUGCUGUCCAUGGUUGCUCUGAGUCUUUAAAUGAUACUUGGGAAUCAACUGAAGCAUCUACUAUCUGAACAUCAGUACACAGGGUUCCAAUAGUCGUCCCUCUUCUCAAAGUAAGUUCAUCACUUGUUACGUUAAUGACUCUUAGGGGCAACACCCCCUUUUCUACCCUGCAUAACACACGGACCACCAAGACAUCAGUAACCAAUCUAUCCGAGGGUUCCAGCAUCCCUUCUAUGCACUCUAGCCCCACCCCUUCAACAUUACCAGGAAUUAUAACCUCAGUUCUAAGAGGGACAAUCACAUCCUGCUUUACUGAUACAGUCCUGGUCUUUUUAUCCACAUUACCCACAUGUAAAAGCAACCGCUUUCCCAUUAAGGUACAACAUUGUGAACUCAAAUCAAUCACUGCCCCAAAUUUCAUCAGGAAAUCAGUGCCCAAAAUUAUCUCCUGCAAGGGUAUAUCAGCUACUAAGAAAUCUGUGGCCAAAGCCAACAUCUCUAUCUGACAUACAGUUGACCACUUCCCCAAAAUUUCCAUCUGUCCACCAUCAGCUACACUGUAAGAAAUGAUUCUGUGGUCAUGUAGAUUUGAAUUAAUGUUUUUGGUUAAAAUAUAUUCAAUAUAAUUGUGUUUAUGAUUUUGAGGCAAAUAUUUAAUUAAAUUUCAAAUAAAAAUGGUUGGAAUAAAAUCUACCCAUUGUAGUUAAAUAAAACUUAAGCAUUAUAUUUACCUAAUCCCAAAUGGAGAGAAUAAUGAGUGAAUUCAAAUUAAUGUAAUCAGGCAGUUUUUAAUUGAAAAGCACUUCCUGUCAAAGUGCGCCUUUUUUAUGCAGCUGGCCAUGAAGAGAGUAACGUUCGGCUACAGACAGUGAGUGAAUGUUCGUUUUCUUCUACAUUGCUCAUCUUGCAAAAUUUAACUGGUUGACUUUAGAAAAUUUAUUUUGUUAUCACUGGGCUAGUAAGAAGAACGCAUGUAGUGGUAUAUUACAAUAUAAAAUGAGUUACCACAGAAAAACAGACUCAGCAGCAACACAAAGUUGGCUUCUGUUGGAAGGCUAUAUAGUGUGAUGUUGUUGCGCUAUAAUAACACAGCAUUAUACAUUUUGGAAGAAAUCUUAUGUAUUGAAGUCACUUUUAUUUUGAAGGAUGUGUGUUAGCAUUUUCACUAUUAUGGUUCCUAGGUCUUUUGCGUGUUAAUAUAAUAUCCUCAGUAUGUUUUUAUGAAAUUGCGUAAAUAAAUACAUUGGGUUUAAUUUCAAGGUUCCAUAAAGAGCAAUAUUUGGGGUUAUCGCUGGAAGAGCAUCUUCAGACGGCACUUGACGCAGUUCGGUUGGCUUUACUUCUCGUGUGUGGAACUCAUCUUCCCGAGGCAGGUGCCGCCAAAUGAGAUGGCAGUGUAAAGUCUGUGGAUUCAGAGCGACAACAAGGGGUGAUCUUCUGCAGCAUUACAGACUUCAGCACAGGACGUUUGAGAUUGGAAAUUCGGUACCUUGUCUUGAUUAUUAUUGUCCAUGCUCCUUUAAAACAUUAAGUGCCCUCCGCACACAUUUGUCAAGAUAUCAUGCAAAGGAUGAAGCUAAGGGGCCAGGAGUAGUCCUCUCUUUCACAUGUGUUAUUUGCUCAGCUAAAUAUCCCACUGAAAAAGAAUAUUUCCAACACCUCGGGAAUGUACAUUUAAGACCAAUAUAUAUGGAACAUUUUUUGUGCACAAAAGCAGAAAGCACAACCCUCAUUCACUUGAAGACUUAAAGCCAAAUGUCAUUGGUGAACACCAAACUUUACCAAAUGAAACUGAUCCUUUACCCGCAGGUGAUAGUGAUUGUGAUGAUAGUGAUACCAAUCCUCCAGUGGAUAUAUCAGAAGCAAUUCACCAAAGAAUUGGCUCACUUCUCUUAAAGCUGGAAAGUGUACACAACGUUUCUGGAAAAUGUAUUGAUGAUUUGGUGGAGGAGCUUUAUUUUAUAUAUACCGCUUCUGCUCCAGUAAUCCGUCAGCUUGUCGAUACAAUUUUGAAAAAGUACAAGUGUGCUGUGGAGGAGGACCUUGUUAACGAAUUGUUGUUGGAAAUAUGCAAGUCACACCCUACAAGCAAGGCACUGGGAUAAGAUGGGCCCUUUGGUUCUGUGUAUAAGAGAAGACAGUAUUUCAAGAAACAGUUUGAAUUUGUCCAGCCAGUAGAGUACAUCCUUGAUUCACAGGAGAAUCUCAGCUUUCAAUAUGUGCCCCUUCUUCAGACCUUGGAGCAUAUAUUGACCAAUAAGGAUAUUGCACAUUU